GCCUGGGUGGCUCAGUCAGUUAAGCAUCUGACUUCGGUUCAGGUCAUGAUCUCACAGUUUGUGAGUUGGAGUCCCACAUCAGGCU
rnacentral:tRNA from 1 species